rnacentral:rRNA from 1 species
UCUAAAGUGAAAGAUGGUUUUGCUAUCACUUAUAGAUGGACCCGCGCCGUAUUAGCUAGUUGGUAAGGUAACGGCUUACCAAGGCAACGAUACGUAGCCGACCUGAGAGGGUGAUCGGCACACUGGAACUGAGACACGGUCCAGACUCCUACGGGAGGCAGCAGUAGGGAAUCUUCCGCAAUGGGCGAAAGCCUGACGGAGCAACGCCGCGUGAGUGAUGAAGGUCUUCGGAUCGUAAAACUCUGUUAUUAGGGAAGAACAAAUGUGUAAGUAACUAUGCACGUCUUUGACGGUACCUAAUCAGAAAGCCACGGCUAACUACGUGCCAGCAGCCGCGGUAAUACGUAGGUGGCAAGCGUUAUCCGGAAUUAUUGGGCGUAAAGCGCGCGUAGGCGGUUUCUUAAGUCUGAUGUGAAAGCCCACGGCUCAACCGUGGAGGGUCAUUGGAAACUGGGAAACUUGAGUGCAGAAGAGGAAAGUGGAAUUCCAUGUGUAGCGGUGAAAUGCGCAGAGAUAUGGAGGAACACCGUGGCGAAAGGCGACUUUCUGGUCUGUAACUGACGCUGAUGUGCGAAACGUGGGGAUCAAACAGGAUUAGAUACCCUGGUAGUCCACGCCCGUAAACGAUGAGUGCUAAGUGUUAGGGGGUUUCCGCCCCCUUAGUGCUGCAGCUAACGCAUUAAGCACUCGCCUGGGGAGUACGACCGCAAGGGUUGAAACUCAAAGGAAUUGACGGGGACCCGCACAAGCGUGGAGCAUGUGGUUUAAUUCGAAGCAACGCGAAGAACCUUACCAAAUCUUGACAUCCUUUGACAACUCUAGAGAUAGAGCCUUUCCCUUCGGGGGACAAAGUGACAGGUGGUGCAUGGUUGUCGUCAGCUCGUGUCGUGAGAUGUUGGGUUAAGUCCCGCAACGAGCGCAACCCUUAAACUUAGUUGCCAGCAUUUAGUUGGGCACUCUAAGUUGACUGCCGGUGACAAACCGGAGGAAGGUGGGGAUGACGUCAAAUCAUCAUGCCCCUUAUGAUUUGGGCUACACACGUGCUACAAUGGACA